AGCUCUGAAGUAGGCUACCACAAGUACAUGCUUUCAGAUCAUACUUACUUAUUUUCCCAUUCUGAAUAUGCUCUCUGAUGCAUCAUCAUUCAGAAAAUUUUGUGAGCCUUCCCGUAGUAUCUGUUUAUGAAUGGAGACUUGACCUGAGAUACAUCAGGAGCAUCAGGUGAGGUCACAGGAUAAUAUUUGUAGAACUUCAUACUCUGAAAUGCAGCCUUCGCUUCUUCACUCAUCUCCUGUAUAGCCUUUUUCCUGGCUUCUCUCGCCUCUCGGUUGCUCCUCUUUCCUUCCUUAACCUGCUGCUUCACAUAUUCCACAAAUUCAUCUUUUUUAUCUGCCGGCAACUCCUCUGACUCGAUAAAUUUGUCUGCCAUUUCCUCUGGCUCAUCAAAUUCCCAAUCAAACUCACAAAACACAGGCGGUUCUGAUGGGAACAAAAUCUGCACAGUGGUGCUCUGUUCAAUUUCAUCUUCUGCAAAUGGGUGAUAGAAAUAAGGUAAGCAAUACUCAAACUUCUUAAUUCG
rnacentral:misc_RNA from 1 species